CCUUCCCUUCUAUGGGAGAAACUGGUAAACUGUGGCACUUUUUCUCUAGCUUCUGAUAGGCUAUGUAACACUGUGUGCACUGCACAAAUUUACGUAGCAAUCCAGAAUUCUUGGCAUUGCCCUUGUAUUCCAGAGGCUACCAAGAAAAUGAAGAGAGUACAGAGUUUCUUCAAGUCACUGUAAAGUUGUUUUUCAUUUUUACUUUUUCCUGUGCUUUCCUCUAGAGACAGAAGCUGGUAUGUAAAGUGCAAAGCUGCUCUUCUGGAUGAAUGAAUGUUCUCUCCCGGUGAUUGUCUUUCAAAAUCUAGACACACAGAAAACAAGCACAACCCUGAGAUGUCAGGACUCUGAACUUCUGUAGAUAUAAGAGGCAAAGCUAGGUUGGUGGAGCAAAUGGGGAAAGCUGUUGCCAAGGAGGAAGAGGGAUAAGUACUUGAAUGCAGAUGGAGUGGAAAUUCUCCUUCAGCCAAAGCCAUUUCUCACCAAUUUCCUCAAAGCUGCAAGAACGUACCUGAAAGAUCCAUCACCACAACUCAUAUAGGGUGGAAUUAGAAAUAUCCAAGUUUCUUUUACAUUCAGGAGGCAAAAUAUAUUAAAUAGACUACACAUACAGGUGAGGUUGUCUGGAUUUUAUUUGUGUUAAUAUAUUUUCAAGGCUAGGCUUUUUGAGGUCUUUCCCCUAAUCUUGUACUAACCCGCAUUUUCCUAUCCAUUAGAAGUGCCUAAGUUUAACAGUGUGGCUCAAUUUAAAAAUGGUGGAUUAGAGCUCAAAAAAUAAGGCAUUCCAUUCCUAGUGCCAAGUAUAGAAAAUGCCCUCCUCUUAUCAUUCUUUAACGGAGGGUGGCCAGCUUAGUAUUCUGCCUGUUUUUGAUUAGAAACUAAGCACAAAUCUGAUCUGGAAUGGUAAUUACUAUAUUCCAGUUUAAGUCACAGAUCAUUGCGGCUAUUAUUUAUUCUCAGACAGAAACAAUUGUCCCUCCAGCUUCCAACUACUGGAUACAAUUCUCAAUUGCUAACCUUUUGCUAUGAGUAAAAACUGCAUUAUUUCUCCUUUGCUUCAGUAGCUGUGGGCCCCCUCACCUGUGACAACUGAGAUAGCUGCACUAUCUGUUAUCCAUUCUCUGUGGAAAGAUUUGAAGAUUUCCUAUGCUUUCUUUCACUAUGGAUCAGAAACCACUUAACUUUUCAAUGCUAAGGAUGGUCAAUCGCACCUUAUCCAGUUUUUCUCUGUUAAAUAAAUGCACACAGAUCAGCCAGAGAGCAGGCUGCCUCUGCAAAAAUUUUAUUGUUCUCUUCUUGAAAUAGGUGAGGGGACCUAUGCAUUCUUAAGCCUAUCUUGGCAAAUUAAAAACAAAACAAAACAAAAAGAAUGAUAGAACAACAAUUGCUAGUUGUGACAAUUUUCUCUGCUAUGAAGAACACUAAAUUUACAUCAUUCUGUUAGAAGGCAUAGACUAAUAUGGAAUGGAAAUCAACGAAUAAGCAAGGAAAAUGCCUAUGGUAACUGAAAGUCUUUGCCCAAACUAAGCCAAAUUGGUAAAAAGUGUCCUUAAAUUUCACGUAGGUCUUACAAUAGAACAUCUGCAAAUUUUUACGUUAUGAUUGACACUGUUAUGAAUAAAAAAAUCCAAACUCUGGAGAGUUGGAAAGUUUCCUGAGUCUUUUUUGUCUGAACUAUUAGUCAGCUCCAAACUUCCAAAUGAAUGCUCUGACACAGCAACAGGGUGCACAUCGGAAGACCUUUGCACUGGCAACAGUCUCAUAGAAGCUGACAAUACUCCUACUGCAGUGUCCAGGUUUGCUGGUAUGGUAAGAGUUUAUGGAUUGGUGUCUGUGUGCUCCUUCAGAGAAAAACAAAAGAACCCCUUGAUACCCCAACUUUUUCUGCUGGAGCUGUUUAAUGUGUAAAAAAAGUAACUCCCCAAAGGUAGCCUAUUGUGAAAUAAUGAGUCACUGUCUCCAGUCUGUAAUUCCUAGGUUCAGGCUGAUGCUUUUGCAGAUGAACAUUUUAGACUAGACUUACCACUUCCCUCGAGCAGAUGUAUAUAAUAGAAAAGUUGAGAAUUUCAAGAUAUAUCUCACCAAUUUACUAUAUAUAACACAUCUGAGAAAUUAGACAUCUAACAGUAAGGAAAGGGGGGACAGACAAGAGCUGCUGAUCAGACUGCAAGACCUGUUGAAGUACUUUCACCUGGAUAGGACCAAUAUUUAUCAAUAUUUAAAUAUAUCUUGAAGAAGCUAUGCAUUGUAAGUAGUAACACUGUGUUAAACUUUUUAAAAGAAUUGAGUACACUAAUGGCAGAAUCCACAACAGCUGUCACAAGGUGGUAAACGUUCUUCAAAGUAGACAAAUGCAACAUUCAUGACAUUGCAUUUCCUGCUAAAUAUUACUAAUGAAUAAAACAUAAUGUGAGCAAGAGAGGUGCAAAAAGGACAAGAGGCCUGAAUAGAAUGCCAAUUUUCAGUAGAGGGCGUAAAGGCAGGAAAAUCAACCAUAAUCAGCCAUAAUUGAAACAAGAUUCCUCAACUCCUUUCCAGCAUAUGGAAAACACUGUCAUCAACGUCCCCUUACACUACAAAUGAUAGGAAUGUACAGGUAACUGGAAAAUCAGUUUUAAAAAUCAAAACAUUUUAAAAUAGAAGUACAAUUGAUUUUAAGUACACAGCAUGCAUACAGAGGAUUAGCUAAUACAAAAGUGCGGGUGGAGCAUAUUUUUGGGAGUAAGAAAAAAAUUUCUUUUGUAUUUUUAUGAGAAUUCUAUUGCACUCACUCCACCAUAAAUUUUCUACUGCUGUUUAUAGACAUUUCAAGGAGUUGAAGCUGAGACUGGAUGCUGUAAAAUUUCAGAUAACAGCUCUGAGGAAACAGAGCAAUAUGCAGACCACCUCACCUUUUCAUAUUUAGAUUCCCACAGAGAAAAACAGUUUUAAGAAAUCUGGUUGUGUAAUGAAAAGGCAGAGACAAGAGUUUCAUCUUGUUAUUUUCCUCUCCUAAAUCUCAGGCUCACACACUCCCCGCUGGCUUCCGAAGGCAUAACUAUUUACUUGUCAAUCAUGAGCAAAAUGUCCCUUCCUGGAAAACCGUUUCCCCAGCUCUUAACAUAGUUUUUGGAGUUGGAUCAUGGUAUCUACUAAAGCUAGAAGCUGUGAGGUCUAACCCAGGAAUGUCCAACCUGCAGGCCAGGCCCAGAACAUCCUGCGGCUGUCCUCCUGUGCUGCACUAUCAUGAUAGCGACUUCAUCCAUUUUCAAGGAUGAAGCACAGGAAGAGUAAGAUUUAAUAAAAAAUAUCUGACAAACACCUUGAGAGCUCACUGAGAAUUGCAACCAUUGCC